AAUAAGUUAGUAUAUUUUAGUACAUUGGGUUCAUAUCCUAGAGGAGUUUUUCACUUAUUU
rnacentral:tRNA from 1 species